CCUACGGGAGGCAGCAGUGGGGAAUAUUGGACAAUGGGCGAAAGCCUGAUCCAGCAAUUCCGCGUGUGUGAAGAAGGCCUUCGGGUUGUAAAGCACUUUAGUGGGGGAAGAAACAGCUUGGCCACACCAAGCCUUGACGGUACCCCAAGAAUAAGCACCGGCUAACUCUGUGCCAGCAGCCGCGGUAAUACAGAGGGUGCAAGCGUUAAUCGGAUUUACUGGGCGUAAAGGGUGCGUAGGUGGCUAUUUAAGUCGGAUGUGAAAGCCCGGGGCUCAACCUCGGAAUUGCAUUCGAUACUGAGUGGCUAGAGUUCGGUAGAGGGCGGCGGAAUUUCCGGUGUAGCGGUGAAAUGCGUAGAUAUCGGAAGGAACAUCAAUGGCGAAGGCAGCCGCCUGGGCCUGGACUGACACUGAGGCACGAAAGCGUGGGUAGCAAACAGGAUUAGAUACCCUGGUAGUCCACGCCGUAAACGAUGAGAACUUGACGUUGGUUCGUUUUACGAAUCGGUGUCGCNGCUACGCGAUAAGUUACUCCGCCGUCGGGGAGGUACGGGCCGGCCGAAGGUUAGGUAAACGUAACGUAAAGUAAGUUAGUUAGUCGUUGNGAGNGCGACGACGACGACGAGGAGGAGG
rnacentral:rRNA from 1 species